ACAUAAUUAUUGAAAGUCAUAAUGUAAUGAUUGUCAGAUUAUCAUUAGUCAUAAUUCUGAAACCGUUAACUUCUCAGGAUUUUCGUAAGGUUAUCCUAUAGAUAGGUUAGGUUAGGUUUGUUUUAUGGCAAUCCUGAAAAGUUACGCGUUUCUGAGAAAAACCAAAUUAUGACUAACGAAAAUGCGGACAAACAAUACAUUAUGACUUAAAACUUUAUGGGAAACAAUAGAGACC